AAGGCCAGAGCCGCCGCCCCGGCGCUAUUUCAGGGCGGGCGGCUCCGCUCCGCACCUGUCCCGGCCCGUCCCGGCCCGUCCCCGGCUCCCUCCGCCCUCACCCCGGCCGCUGCUUCCCCCGCCUGCCUCCUUCUUUCCCUCCUCAGCCCCGCGCUCCUCGGGCAUGGCUGAGGCGGGACGCCCCGGUCCCGCUGCCGCCGCUGGGGGGGACGAAGCCGCCGCCGAUGAGUUCCGCGAUAUCAUCCGCAGCCGGUCGGGGUAGGAAUCAUCACUGACUUGAAUGAAGUGGUGGGAAAAUCAGCAGUGGGGGGAAAAAAACCCCCACGAACCACCCUGGCAUUAACUAACUUUGAAGUAUGAAUGUCUUCCGUGUGAAAGCUAAGCGAUCUCCUACGAUGUACCAUGUCUGGCUGUGUGGUGCUCCAUCCAUUGCUGAAUCUAUGUAAUUACUUUAAAUAAAACUCCACCUCUUAUUUCUGGAGCUUGAUGGACAAUGUGCUGUUUUGUGUAAUCUGGCAAAAGUAUUGUACUGAAUUUCAAGGUUAGUUUUAUGCUGUCCUUAUCCUAUGUGAUUGAUAUCAAGAGCAUGAUGUGAUUGAGUUAUGCUGCAGCAUGCAAUCAGAUACCAUAAAUAGUAUUAUCUGCAUAAAGUCUUGGAAGUGGUUGCUGGGCUGCUUCUAAAGUGCACUUUGGCUUGGAUGUUGAAGCCAUAGUUGGGAUCAUCAUUUUAAAAAUCAAUCUGUUUUUAAGGCAGAUAAUACACUGGUUAACUAAUUUAUUUUUUUGUGUGGAAGGCUGACUGAAAUAUAAAGAAAUAUGCACUAACUAAAGCAGGUUUAUAUUUUGUUUGUAGCUUGCAAAAGCUCUCUGUACCUCUUGUUCAGUCAGUGUACGUGGUCCUUAUCAAACAGGAAGUGCACUCUUAUCAAAUUAUUUAGGAUGUUUGUGCUGCCUAGCAUUUUUCAUUUCCACCUUGUACAAGCAGAAAAAGGAAAAAAGCAAUGUAAAUCAGACUUUCUCCAAACCUAAUGUUCUACUUAAGUUUAAGAUAAUGAUGGAAGAGAGGAGGAGCUGUAAAGGAUGUGAAUUAGUGAAAACUUCUGGAUGAGUUGUGGUCCCAAAUAAGCUUGCUGCAAAGAAUGUCUGGCAUUGUUUUAUUCAAAAGGCAAGGCAUAUUUUAGGAAAUAAUAUCUGACUUUUAUCUCGAGGCAGUACAUUAACAAGCAAUCAUUGAAGCGAAACUGUUAUUUAGCUAUGAUUUCAUGACUUUGUGACGUUACCUUUUUGCUAGAUGAUGGAGUCUGCCCUUUUCAUUUUCUCUAAUGCCAAGGCAAACUUGUUAUUUUGAUGUUUGGAAUUUAUCAAACUGCUUACAAAUGGAUUAAUAUGACAUUUCAACUUUAUGUCAUAAGAUCAGUAGAAGUAGGCUAGCAUAAUAAAGGUUGUCUAAUAAAUUUAUAUUCAGUAGUAUUUCUGUUCUUGAUGGCCCGCAACUGCUGUGAACCAUCUUCAUGAACUGUCUUCAGCCUUGCAGACUGCCUUUAAAGUGUGAAGCAUAAAUCUGUUACACCUACAAUGAAACCCUAUUUCUUUAGUCCUAAGUGUGCCUUAUUCUAGGGGCAUGCUCUCUUUAGACUACCUAGCAUCACAGUAAGCACGUGUUUUCCUGAAAAAACUAGCAACUGGUAAAGCAAAAUCUUCUAUACAGCACUCUUGUUUCUGCUGGUUUUUACACCCAGAAUAAUUAGGCUAAUUCAAUUAGGCUUUGUGUGAUCUUUCCCCUUUUAUCUCAAGUGUAAUGUUUUGCUGAACACUAGAGGGAAAUAACUAAGGAUUGGCAAUGUGCACUUGCAAAAUAUUAAAUUCUUCAGCUGAAUUCUAGCUACCUCCUCAGAAGGACUUCUGGUUGUUGUGGAAAUCAAGUUGCGUGGAUUUAAACAAUGAUAACUUCAUAACCUUGCAACUUUGGAAAAAUCUCGCUGGUUACUGCUAGUCUCCAGCUUGACUGAAAUGUCAGUGUGCUGCAAAAACUCCGUGAAACUGCAGAGGACUUGCUGCUUGGUUGGGAUUCUUUCCCCGUGGGUUCCUGCACCCAACAGAUGGGUGAAGAACACUUCUACUGGGUGAAGAAACUUUCUGGUCUGCUUCCCAAUCCUCUUGGACUUGCUACAUUUCUGUUAAUGCAGUCAUAUCUUUUUUCCCUUCUGUUUGUGAUGCUGAUGUCCGGUGACAGCAAUAAAGGCAGUAGUGUUGGAA